rnacentral:rRNA from 1 species
AUUCUGGCUCAGGAUGAACGCUGGCGGCGUGCUUAACACAUGCAAGUCGAACGGGAUCCAUCAGGCUUUGCUUGGUGGUGAGAGUGGCGAACGGGUGAGUAAUGCGUGACCGACCUGCCCCAUACACCGGAAUAGCUCCUGGAAACGGGUGGUAAUGCCGGAUGCUCCAGUUGAUCGCAUGGUCUUCUGGGAAAGCUUUCGCGGUAUGGGAUGGGGUCGCGUCCUAUCAGCUUGACGGCGGGGUAACGGCCCACCGUGGCUUCGACGGGUAGCCGGCCUGAGAGGGCGACCGGCCACAUUGGGACUGAGAUACGGCCCAGACUCCUACGGGAGGCAGCAGUGGGGAAUAUUGCACAAUGGGCGCAAGCCUGAUGCAGCGACGCCGCGUGAGGGAUGGAGGCCUUCGGGUUGUAAACCUCUUUUAUCGGGGAGCAAGCGAGAGUGAGUUUACCCGUUGAAUAAGCACCGGCUAACUACGUGCCAGCAGCCGCGGUAAUACGUAGGGUGCAAGCGUUAUCCGGAAUUAUUGGGCGUAAAGGGCUCGUAGGCGGUUCGUCGCGUCCGGUGUGAAAGUCCAUCGCUUAACGGUGGAUCCGCGCCGGGUACGGGCGGGCUUGAGUGCGGUAGGGGAGACUGGAAUUCCCGGUGUAACGGUGGAAUGUGUAGAUAUCGGGAAGAACACCAAUGGCGAAGGCAGGUCUCUGGGCCGUUACUGACGCUGAGGAGCGAAAGCGUGGGGAGCGAACAGGAUUAGAUACCCUGGUAGUCCACGCCGUAAACGGUGGAUGCUGGAUGUGGGGCCCGUUCCACGGGUUCCGUGUCGGAGCUAACGCGUUAAGCAUCCCGCCUGGGGAGUACGGCCGCAAGGCUAAAACUCAAAGAAAUUGACGGGGGCCCGCACAAGCGGCGGAGCAUGCGGAUUAAUUCGAUGCAACGCGAAGAACCUUACCUGGGCUUGACAUGUUCCCGACGGUCGUAGAGAUACGGCUUCCCUUCGGGGCGGGUUCACAGGUGGUGCAUGGUCGUCGUCAGCUCGUGUCGUGAGAUGUUGGGUUAAGUCCCGCAACGAGCGCAACCCU